rnacentral:rRNA from 1 species
CAUGCAAGUCGACGAGAAACCCGAGCUUGCUCGGGUGGACAGUGGCAGACGGCUUAGUAACGCGUGGGUAUCUACCUAGAGGUUUGGAACAACUAUUGGAAACGAUAGCUAAUACCAAAUAUUCCCUAAGGGGGAAAGAUUUAUCGCCUUUAGAUGAGCCCGCGUCGGAUUAGCUUGUUGGUAGGGUAAAGGCCUACCAAGGCAACGAUCCGUAGCUGGUCUGAGAGGAUGAUCAGCAAGAUUGGGACUGAGACACGGCCCAGACUCCUACGGGAGGCAGCAGUGGGGAAUAUUGCGCAAUGGGGGAAACCCUGACGCAGCGAUGCCGCGUGAGUGAAGAAGGCCUUAGGGUUGUAAAACUCUUUCACCGGUGAAGAUAAUGACGGUAGCCGGAGAAGAAGCCCCGGCUAACUCCGUGCCAGCAGCCGCGGUAAUACGGAGGGGGCUAACGUUGUUCGGAAUUACUGGGCGUAAAGCGCGCGUAGGCGGAUUAGACAGUUGAGGGUGAAAUCCCGGAGCUUAACUCCGGAACUGCCUUCAAUACUACUAAUCUUGAGUUCGGAAGAGGUGAGUGGAAUUCCUAGUGUAGAGGUGAAAUUCGUAGAUAUUAGGAAGAACAUCAGUGGCGAAGGCGACUCACUGGUCCGAUACUGACG